rnacentral:rRNA from 1 species
GAGUUUGAUCGUGGCUCAGAUUGAACGCUGGCGGCAUGCCUUACACAUGCAAGUCGAACGGCAGCACGGGAGCUUGCUCCUGGUGGCGAGUGGCGAACGGGUGAGUAAUGCAUCGGAACGUAUCCUGGAGUGGGGGAUAACGUAGCGAAAGUUACGCUAAUACCGCAUAUUCUGUGAGCAGGAAAGCGGGGGGACCUUCGGGCCUCGCGCUCUUGGAGCGGCCGAUGUCGGAUUAGCUAGUUGGUGAGGUAAAGGCUCACCAAGGCGACGAUCCGUAGCAGGUCUGAGAGGAUGAUCUGCCACACUGGAACUGAGACACGGUCCAGACUCCUACGGGAGGCAGCAGUGGGAAUUUUUGGGACAAUGGGGGCGACCCUGAUCCAGCCAUGCCGCGUGAGUGAAGAA